AGUGAACGCUGGCGGUAGGCCUAACACAUGCAAGUCGAACGGCAGCACAGUAAGAGCUUGCUCUUACGGGUGGCGAGUGGCGGACGGGUGAGGAAUACAUCGGAAUCUACUUUUUCGUGGGGGAUAACGUAGGGAAACUUACGCUAAUACCGCAUACGACCUACGGGUGAAAGCAGGGGAUCUUCGGACCUUGCGCGAUUGAAUGAGCCGAUGUCGGAUUAGCUAGUUGGCGGGGUAAAGGCCCACCAAGGCGACGAUCCGUAGCUGGUCUGAGAGGAUGAUCAGCCACACUGGAACUGAGACACGGUCCAGACUCCUACGGGAGGCAGCAGUGGGGAAUAUUGGACAAUGGGCGCAAGCCUGAUCCAGCCAUACCGCGUGGGUGGAGAAGGCCUUCGGGUUGGAAAGCCCUUUUGUUGGGAAAGAAAAGCAGCAGGUUAAUACCCCGCUGUUCUGACGGUACCCAAAGAAUAAGCACCGGCUAACUUCGUG
rnacentral:rRNA from 1 species